rnacentral:rRNA from 1 species
CCUACGGGAGGCUGCAGUGAGGAAUAUUUGUCAAUGGACGAGAGUCUGAACCCGCCAAGUAGCGUGAAGGAUGACUGCCCUAUGGGUUGUAAACUUCUUUUAUAUGGGAAUAAAACAGGGUAUGCAUACCCUCUUGUAUGUACCAUAUGAAUAAGGAUCGGCUAACUCCGUGCCAGCAGCCGCGGUAAUACGGAGGAUACGAGCGUUAUCCGGAUUUAUUGGGUUUAAAGGGUGCGGAGGUGGGUUGGUAAGUAAGUUGUGACAGUUUGCGGCUUAACCGUAAAAUGGCAGUUGAAACUGGCAGUCUUGAGUACAGGAGAGGUUGGCGGAAUUCGGGGUGUAGCGGUGAAAUGCUUAG